ACCUAGUCAAUACCUAAUUUUUGCAACCUGUCAAUUAGAUGUUGAAACUAUUAAAGAUCAUCAUAAAGUAAUCCACUACCUUUGGUAGAUUACGAUUUCUCAGAUCAUGCAAAAGUUCAAAGAGUUGAGAAGAGGGGAGAAGGGCAUGGAUGGUUGCAUUGAGAAAGCAUAGAUUCCCCAAGUUGAUUGAAAAUCUUUAGCAAUUGAAUAUGGCCCAUUUGAUGCCUGGGUAAUACUUUCGUUGGAAUCGACUAUGUCAAAACCUUCUGUCUAAUAUUCCAAAACUCCAUCGUCCAAGAAGGAUGACAAUUCAGUAACUUUCUCACAACUGGGCUGCUGUAUGCUUUGCUGGAAACACAUAGGCUUCAGUUCUUUUGAGAUAUUACCCUCAACCGGACUUGUAUAGUUGGCGCACCCAUUUCCCUGCACAAUAGGGACUUCCAAGUGUGACGUGUUUUCAGCAUUUCUAGGAAUCCUAAGAGUAUUUUCUAUUUGAGCUGGCUUCAACUGCGCAUACCCUUUAAGGGAAUAAAUCUCUAUCAGACUAGUAUUUGAAAUGCCCACGGAUCUUCAAGUUACUGAAUCCAAAGAACCAAAUGUGAUUUCUGUAUUAUUCUGUGACGGCUCGCACUUACAGAGUCUUUACUUCUCUUCUGUAAAUGAUCCAAAAAUCAACACCUGACGAUAAAAACAAUUAACUACAGAAACGAUAAAAGUCAUCUCUCUUAUGAACUAUUACAAUUAGUAACAUAGAUACACGUGCACAUCCUUUGACGGUUUAAGCUUUGUAUUUUCAAAGAAUAAGAUCUCAAUAAUAAAUCAACUAAAGGGAUACAAGCAUUUAGCAUACUGAGCAAAG
rnacentral:lncRNA from 1 species